rnacentral:rRNA from 1 species
UGGGGAAUAUUGCACAAUGGGCGCAAGCCUGAUGCAGCCAUGCCGCGUGUGUGAAGAAGGCCUUCGGGUUGUAAAGCACUUUCAGCGGGGAGGAAGGCGUUAAGGUUAAUAACCUUGGCGAUUGACGUUACCCGCAGAAGAAGCACCGGCUAACUCCGCGCCAGCAGCCGCGGUAAUACGGAGGGUGCAAGCGUUAAUCGGAAUUACUGGGCGUAAAGCGCACGCAGGCGGUCUGUCAAGUCGGAUGUGAAAUCCCCGGGCUCAACCUGGGAAAUGCAUUCGAAAAUGGAAGGAUAGAGUCUUGUAGAGGAGGGUAGAAUUCCAGGUGUAGCGGUGAAAUGAGUAGAGAUCUGGAGGAAUACCGGUAGCGGAGGCGGCCCCCUGGAAAAAGACAGACGCUAAGGUGCGAAAGCGUGGGGAGCAAACAGG